GGUUAUGGAGAGGUGACAAGUAACAAGCAAAUUUCAUAUCUGCGUAUUUUCUGAUUUUCAUACAAAUUGUGUAGUACCCAUUUGUCAAGCUUUUUUGGUUUUCCGAUCGCAUGCAAAUGGUUGCAGACAGUUUUCUGGUAAACUUGAAGUUCUUUUUCCAGUUCUCAAGUG